rnacentral:rRNA from 1 species
AUUGAACGCUAGCGGGAUGCCUUACACAUGCAAGUCGAACGGCAGCACGGACUUCGGUCUGGUGGCGAGUGGCGAACGGGUGAGUAAUGUAUCGGAACGUGCCCAGUAGCGGGGGAUAACUACGCGAAAGCGUAGCUAAUACCGCAUACGUCCUACGGGAGAAAGCAGGGGACCUUCGGGCCUUGCGCUAUCAGAUGAGC